GCGGAGGAAAAGAAACCAACAGGGAUUGCCCUAGUAACGGCGAGUGAAGCGGCAACAGCUCAAAUUUGAAAUCUGGCGUCUUCGGCGUCCGAGUUGUAAUUUGCAGAGGGCGCUUUGGCAUUGGCAGCGGUCCAAGUUCCUUGGAACAGGACGUCACAGAGGGUGAGAAUCCCGUACGUGGUCGCUAGCCUUUACCGUGUAAAGCCCCUUCGACGAGUCGAGUUGUUUGGGAAUGCAGCUCUAAAUGGGAGGUAAAUUUCUUCUAAAGCUAAAUACUGGCCAGAGACCGAUAGCGCACAAGUAGAGUGAUCGAAAGAUGAAAAGCACUUUGGAAAGAGAGUUAAAAAGCACGUGAAAUUGUUGAAAGGGAAGCGCUUGCAGCCAGACUUGCCUGUAGUUGCUCAUCCGGGUUUCUACCCGGUGCACUCUUCUAUAGGCAGGCCAGCAUCAGUUUGGGCGGUUGGAUAAAGGUCUCUGUCAUGUACCUCCUCUCGGGGAGAACUUAUAGGGGAGACGACAUGCAACCAGCCCGGACUGAGGUCCGCGCAUCUGCUAGGAUGCUGGCGUAAUGGCUGUAAGCGGCCCGUCUUGAAACACGGACCAAGGAGUCUAACAUCUAUGCGAGUGUUUGGGUGUCAAGCCCGAGCGCGUAAUGAAAGUGAACGGAGGUGGGAACCUUUCGGGGUGCACCAUCGACCGAUCCUGAUGUCUUCGGAUGGAUUUGAGUAAGAGCAUAGCUGUUGGGACCCGAAAGAUGGUGAACUAUGCUUGAAUAGGGUGAAGCCAGAGGAAACUCUGGUGGAGGCUCGCAGCGGUUCUGACGUGCAAAUCGAUCGUCAAA
rnacentral:sRNA from 1 species